AUGUCAUGUUAUUCCAAGACGUUCUCACUUUGCCACCACCUUCAUCCACCCCCCGCUUGCCAUCUUGAAGGAGGGCUGUGGAGCGGCCGGGGAGGCGGGCUGCGGUGCCACCGUGGUCUGGGGGGCUGCAUCGCUGCCCUGCCCCCUGGGCGAGUGGAGGGGUGGGCACUGAGCCGGGAGCCCGGCUUCGAGCUCCGUGGGGCACCGAGCCUGGCCACGCUUCCUUGGCACGCUUCCCUAUGCAAAACGGGGAGGGGCUGUGCUCCCCAAGCCCCGCUGCCAUCAGACUUGCCGCAGAAGAACACAAAACCAAACAGGCUCUCGGGCUGCACCACGAGACACUUCAGGGAGCCAGAGGGCUCAUCACUCCUGCCUCCUCACCCACACUCAUCUUACUGCUCCCAAAAGGCAUUUAGUCAUUUGCGCCUGUGCGUGCGUGUCAUGCCCUGGCGGGUUCCGCGACGUGAACUUCCCACACGGCACAGAGAAAGGCGCUCAGCCCCGGAGCCAGCUGCUCCCAGGGGACACCAGGUGCUGUCCUGCAGGAAACGGAAUUCCCCACACACGGUUCAACGGGACAGAGGAAUGGAGGGGCUGCUGACAGAGAAGGGAGCCCUGCUCGGGCGGCAGGAAAACGGGCUCGGAGAAGAAGAAGGAAGCCUAGCAAAUGGAAAAUUAAUUCUGGACGGUAAAGAGCAGAGGCUGUUGUUUGUGAUGUAUAACUUACUCUUUGUGUCAAACUGUGUACUGUGA
rnacentral:lncRNA from 1 species